rnacentral:rRNA from 1 species
UACGGAGGGUGCAAGCGUUAUCCGGAAUCAUUGGGUUUAAAGGGUCCACAGGCGGUUCUAUAAGUCAGUGGUGAAAUCUCUCGGCUCAACCGAGAAACUGCCAUUGAUACUGUAGGACUUGAAUUCGGUCGAAGUGGGCGGAAUAUGACAUGUAGCGGUGAAAUGCUUAGAUAUGUCAUAGAACACCGAUAGCGAAGGCAGCUCACUAGGCCUGGAUUGACGCUCAGGGACGAAAGCGUGGGGGAGC